rfam:Triticum aestivum genome assembly, contig: Triticum_aestivum_CS42_TGACv1_scaffold_147233_2BS
AUAUUACCUCCAUCCUUAAUUACUUGUCUUAUAUUUGACUAGAUAUGGAUGUAUCUAACACAUAAUGUGUCUAGAUACAUCUGUAUCUAAAAAAAUCUAAGACAAGUAAUUCAUAAGGACGGAGUAAUUC